rnacentral:lncRNA from 1 species
UGGCACUUUAAAAAGCGAGUGAUCAUCCUAUUUAAUACUUAUAAUUAUGAAAUAGAGCUUAAAUUUUCUUAUUAAACAGUAGCAUAAUGAUUUGUACAUUUAUGAAAAAAGAUAUUCCGUUAUUACCCAGCGUUAACAUUCAUGUGCGCUUCUGUCAUAGAGAAAUAGAGGGAUACCCCUAACAAAAUUAUUCAAAUAAACUCAUCAUAGAUACCAGGAUUAAAUUUUUUU